GCACAAACUCCUAGAAAUUGCAAGAACUUUCCGAGUGUGGGAUCGAGAGAGCAAAAUGUUUUGCUGGCUCACUCAUACACAUGCACACCGGCAGAAAGAGCGAGAAUAUUCAAGAGCGCAAAAGCAACAAGCUGUCGGUUUUGUCUUUGUGUGUUUGCCACUUUGGCGUCGGUAUAAAAACUCGCUCCGUCGUCAGCUGCGCCGCAAUUGUAUUUGAAUCGUCAGCGAAAGAGCAUCUGCUGUGCAGAAGAGAGCAAAUAAAAGAAAAAAAAGUUUGGAAGAGCAC